rnacentral:rRNA from 1 species
ACCCAGACUCCUACGGGAGGCAGCAGUGGGGAAUAUUGCACAAUGGGGGAAACCCUGAUGCAGCGACGCCGCGUGAGCGAUGAGGUAUUUCGGUAUGUAAAGCUCUCUCAGCAGGGAAGAAAAUGACGGUACCUGACUAAGAAGCCCCGGCUAACUACGUGCCAGCAGCCGCGGUAAUACGUAGGGGGCAAGCGUUAUCCGGAUUUACUGGGUGUAAAGGGAGCGUAGACGGCAGUGCAAGUCCGGAGUGAAAGCCCGGGGCUCAACCCUGGGACUGCUCUGGAAACUGUAAAGCUGGAGUGCGGGAGGGGCAGGCGGAAUUCCUGGUGUAGCGGUGAAAUGCGUAGAUAUCAGGAGGAACACCGGUGGCGAAGGCGGCCUGCUGGACUGCGACUGACGUUGAGGCCCGAAAGCGUGGGGAGCAAACAGGAUUAGAUACCCGAGUACA